GGGAUCAGUGGCGGACGGGUGAGUAACACGUGGGAAUGUGCCUUUAGGUUCGGAAUAACUCAGGGAAACUUGAGCUAAUACCGGAUAAGCCCCCUUGGGGGAAAGAUUUAUCGCCUUUAGAGCAGCCCGCGUCUGAUUAGCUUGUUGGUGAGGUAAAGGCUCACCAAGGCGACGACCAGUAGCUGGUCUGAGAGGAUGGCCAGCCACACUGGGACUGAGACACGGCCCAG
rnacentral:rRNA from 1 species